rnacentral:tRNA from 2 species
GCGCGGUUAGCUCAGUUGGUUAGAGCGCCACCUUGACACGGUGGAGGUCACAAGUUCGAAUCUUGUAUCGCGCA